rnacentral:rRNA from 1 species
GAAACCGGAGCUAAUACCGGAUAGUUCCUUGAACCGCAUGGUUCAAGGAUGAAAGACGGUUUCGGCUGUCACUUACAGAUGGACCCGCGGCGCAUUAGCUAGUUGGUGAGGUAACGGCUCACCAAGGCGACGAUGCGUAGCCGACCUGAGAGGGUGAUCGGCCACACUGGGACUGAGACACGGCCCAGACUCCUACGGGAGGCAGCAGUAGGGAAUCUUCCGCAAUGGACGAAAGUCUGACGGAGCAACGCCGCGUGAGUGAUGAAGGUUUUCGGAUCGUAAAGCUCUGUUGUUAGGGAAGAACAAGUGCAAGAGUAACUGCUUGCACCUUGACGGUACCUAACCAGAAAGCCACGGCUAACUACGUGCCAGCAGCCGCGGUAAUACGUAGGUGGCAAGCGUUGUCCGGAAUUAUUGGGCGUAAAGGGCUCGCAGGCGGUUUCUUAAGUCUGAUGUGAAAGCCCCCGGCUCAACCGGGGAGGGUCAUUGGAAACUGGGAAACUUGAGUGCAGAAGAGGAGAGUGGAAUUCCACGUGUAGCGGUGAAAUGCGUAGAGAUGUGGAGGAACACCAGUGGCGAAGGCGACUCUCUGGUCUGUAACUGACGCUGAGGAGCGAAAGCGUGGGGAGCGAACAGGAUUAGAUACCCUGGUAGUCCACGCCGUAAACGAUGAGUGCUAAGUGUUAGGGGGUUUCCGCCCCUUAGUGCUGCAGCUAACGCAUUAAGCACUCCGCCUGGGGAGUACGGUCGCAAGACUGAAACUCAAAGGAAUUGACGGGGGCCCGCACAAGCGGUGGAGCAUGUGGUUUAAUUCGAAGCAACGCGAAGAACCUUACCAGGUCUUGACAUCCUCUGACAACCCUAGAGAUAGGGCUUUCCCUUCGGGGACAGAGUGACAGGUGGUGCAUGGUUGUCGUCAGCUCGUGUCGUGAGAUGUUGGGUUAAGUCCCGCAACGAGCGCAACCCUUUGAUCUUAGUUGCCAGCAUUCAGUUGGGCACUCUAAGGUGACUGCCGGUGACAAACCGGAGGAAGGUGGGGAUGACGUCAAAUCAUCAUGCCCCUUAUGACCUGGGCUACACACGUGCUACAAUGGACAGAACAAAGGGCUGCGAGACCGCAAGGUUUAGCCAAUCCCACAAAUCUGUUCUCAGUUCGGAUCGCAGUCUGCAACUCGACUGCGUGAAGCUGGAAUCGCUAGUAAUCGCGGA